rnacentral:rRNA from 1 species
AACCAGACUCCUACGGGAGGCAGCAGUGGGGGAUAUUGCACAAUGGGGGGAACCCUGAUGCAGCGACGCCGCGUGGGUGAAGAAGCGCCUCGGCGCGUAAAGCCCUGUCAGCAGGGAAGAAAAUGACGGUACCUGAAGAAGAAGCCCCGGCUAACUACGUGCCAGCAGCCGCGGUAAUACGUAGGGGGCAAGCGUUAUCCGGAUUUACUGGGUGUAAAGGGGGCGCAGACGGUGAUGCAAGCCAGGAGUGAAAGCCCGGGGCCCAACCCCGGGACUGCAUUUGGAACUGUGUGGCUGGAGUGUCGGAGAGGCAGGCGGAAUUCCUAGUGUAGCGGUGAAAUGCGUAGAUAUUAGGAGGAACACCAGUGGCGAAGGCGGCCUGCUGGACGAUGACUGACGUUGAGGCUCGAAAGCGUGGGGAGCAAACAGGAUUAGAUACCCGCGUAA